GGGUGCAGCAAUGGCAACCGGCGUAAGGGGCAGUAAGGCAUGGGUACCUACCGUGGGGUUCGGGAUAGCCAUCAGAGAUGGCGGGUAAUACCGGAUGACCUCGAGAGAGCAAAGAUUCAUCGCCCCGUGAGGGGCCCAUGUGAUAUUAGCUAGUUGGCGGGGUAAUGGCCCACCAAGGCUGAGAUGUCUAGCGGGUGUGAGAGCACGACCCGCGCCACUCGCACUGAGACACUGGCGAGACACCUACGGGUGGCUGCAGUCGAGGAUCUUCGGCAAUGGGGGCAACCCUGACCGAGCGACGCCGCGUGUGCGACGAAGGCCUUCGGGUUGUAAAGCACUGUCGAGGGGGAGAAAAGUCGAAAGGUGUGAUCUAUCCCUGGAGGAAGCUCGGGCUAAGUUCGUGCCAGCAGCCGCGGUAAGACGAACCGAGCGAACGUUGUUCGGAAUAACUGGGCUUAAAGGGCGCGUAGGCGGGCCGCCAAGUUCGAGGUGAAAUCCUCCGGCUCAACCGGAGAACUGCCUCGAAUACUGGAGGCCUCGAGGCGGGUAGGGGCAUGCGGAACUGUGGGUGGAGCGGUGAAAUGCGUUGAUAUCCACAGGAACUCCGGUGGCGAAGGCGGAUGCUGGACCCGAUCUUGACGCUGAGGCGCGAAAGCCAGGGGAGCAAACGGGGA
rnacentral:rRNA from 1 species